GCUGGCGGCGUGCCUAAUACAUGCAAGUCGAGCGGACAGAAGGGAGCUUGCUCCCGGAUGUUAGCGGCGGACGGGUGAGUAACACGUGGGUAACCUGCCUGUAAGACUGGGAUAACUCCGGGAAACCGGAGCUAAUACCGGAUAGUUCCUUGAACCGCAUGGUUCAAGGAUGAAAGACGGUUUCGGCUGUCACUUACAGAUGGACCCGCGGCGCAUUAGCUAGUUGGUGGGGUAAUGGCUCACCAAGGCGACGAUGCGUAGCCGACCUGAGAGGGUGAUCGGCCACACUGGGACUGAGACACGGCCCAGACUCCUACGGGAGGCAGCAGUAGGGAAUCUUCCGCAAUGGACGAAAGUCUGACGGAGCAACGCCGCGUGAGUGAUGAAGGUUUUCGGAUCGUAAAGCUCUGUUGUUAGGGAAUAACAAGUGCGACAGUAACUGCUCGCACCUUGACGGUACCUAACCCAAAAGCCCCCGGU
rnacentral:rRNA from 1 species